ACGCCGAGCCCCGCCAUGCAGUCCCCGCAGCGUGCCCGCCUGCUCCUUCUGCUCGCCCUGCUCGCCCUCUACUUGCCGCUGGGCUGGGCCGAGGGCACCACUACGAAAGCCACGAGCAGUCCCCAAGAGCAACCGAAAGCCCUGGCCGCCCCAUGCUGCAGCACGGCCUUCGUCUCCCUGGCGCUGGGCCUGGCUGCCGCUUUCUUCCUGCGGCUGGGCUGAGCCUGGGUGCAAACGGCCCCCGAGUGCCCUGGCCUGCUGCUCCACCCUGCGCAGACACCCUCGGGCCGGCGGCGCCGCGCCAUCCUUGGACACUCACCACAAGGACCAGCCAGCAUGAUGCCAGUGCUCCCGCCUGCCAGUCCCUCUCCCCAACACACCAGCUGCUCCGCACCCGCUCUGCUGGCCCUGCGUGGGCACCUGGGCCGCACUGCAGCUCCCCUCGCGAGGUGCUGGCGAGACACGUUGACGCUGCAGCGACGCUUUGCACCGUGCGGGUGAAGCUGCCAUGGCUCAACGUGCUCUGGCCACGCGUGGGGCAGCCCACCCAGGCUCAGGAGCA